rnacentral:rRNA from 1 species
AACGAACGCUGGCGGCAUGCCUAAUACAUGCAAGUCGAACGAAGGCUUCGGCCUUAGUGGCGCACGGGUGCGUAACGCGUGGGAAUCUACCCUUGGGUUCGGAAUAACAGUUAGAAAUGACUGCUAAUACCGGAUGAUGACGUAAGUCCAAAGAUUUAUCGCCCAAGGAUGAGCCCGCGUAAGAUUAGCUAGUUGGUGAGGUAAAGGCUCACCAAGGCUACGAUCUUUAGCUGGUCUGAGAGGAUGAUCAGCCACACUGGGACUGAGACACGGCCCAGACUCCUACGGGAGGCAGCAGUAGGGAAUAUUGGACAAUGGGCGAAAGCCUGAUCCAGCAAUGCCGCGUGAGUGAUGAAGGCCUUAGGGUUGUAAAGCUCUUUUACCCGAGAUGAUAAUGACAGUAUCGGGAGAAUAAGCUCCGGCUAACUCCGUGCCAGCAGCCGCGGUAAAAGUCAACGUCG